rnacentral:rRNA from 1 species
GACGAACGCUGGCGGCGUGCUUAACACAUGCAAGUCGAACGGAAAGGCCUGCUUUCCCUUGUGGAUUGCGGGUACUCGAGUGGCGAACGGGUGAGUAACACGUGAGUGAUCUGCCCCCAACUUGGGUAUAAGCCUGGGAAACUGGGUCUAAUUCCCGAUAGGACUGCAGGGUGGUGCCUGUGGUGGAAAACGAUUUUCUAGUGGUUGGGGAUGAGCUCGCGGCCUAUCAGCUUGUUGGUGGGGUAAUGGCCUACCAAGGCGGCGACGGGUAGCCGGCCUGAGAGGGUGGACGGGCACAUUGGGACUGAGAUACGGCCCAGACUCCUACGGGAGGCAGCAGUGGGGAAUAGUGCACAAGGGGCGGAAGCCUGAUGCAGCGACGCCGCGUGGGGGAUGACGGCCUUCGGGUUGUAAACUCCUUUCGACCGCGAGGAAGCCACCUGGUUGGAAGGGUGGUGACGGUAGUGGUAGAAGAAGCACCGACUAACUACGUG